ensembl:lncRNA novel transcript
GCUGGGAAGGGAGGGCAAAGGGCCAUGUCUUUCGCUUGCUCCACCCAGCUGCCAAGAGUCCCAGUCACCAGGCCACCCUAAGUCCCAGCCCUUGAGGGUCCAUGAGACUGGGGCAGCAGCAGGGGCAGGUACAGAGCACCUCAGCCGCCUCUCCACCUGACAGCAACAUCAAAGCCGAGGCCAAGGCGGGAGGGCCCAGAGUGAGACACCUCUUCCAGACAAGACUUGGUCGCUGCCUCCUCCUCUGUCACCCUGCGACACAGCCCAGAGUACCAGGCGGCUGGAGCACUGGGGGACACCCGGACAGAACCCUCCCUGGACCAAGUCCUCCAGGAACGGGAUGAAGCCAUUGCCAAGAAGCAGGCGGUGGAGGCGGAGCUGCAGAGAUGCAAAGCCAGGCUACACGCCAUGGAGGCCCAGCUGCUGGAGGUCCUGGAGGAGAAACUGAGGCUGAGGCGGGAGCUGGAGGCCUGGGAGGAGGACGUGCAGCAGCUGGUGUGGCAGCAGGUCCAGAAUCAGCUGCAGAGAGAGGCCAAGGGUACUCGGGGAGCCCACGUGGACCCUGGAGCUGCCAGCACCCCCCGAUCCAGAUUCUCCCUGGGUCGGGGACGUUGGUGGUGACACAGACCUCAGCCCAGGACUUUGGGAGUAGUGUCUUUAUUCAUUAAAGCCUGAGGUCUGACCACCCCUGUAAAACCUCGUGCCCACA